rnacentral:rRNA from 1 species
ACGCACGCUGGCGGCGUGCUUAACCCCUGCAAGUCGCACGGAAAGGCCCUGCUUUUGUGGGGUGCUCGAGUGGCGAACGGGUGAGUAACACGUGAGUAACCUGCCCUUGACUUUGGGAUAACUUCAGGAAACUGGGGCUAAUACCGGAUAGGAGCUCCUGCUGCAUGGUGGGGGUUGGAAAGUUUCGGCGGUUGGGGAUGGACUCGCGGCUUAUCAGCUUGUUGGUGGGGUAGUGGCUUACCAAGGCUUUGACGGGUAGCCGGCCUGAGAGGGUGACCGGCCACAUUGGGACUGAGAUACGGCCCAGACUCCUACGGGAGGCAGCAGUGGGGAAUAUUGCACAAUGGGCGGAAGCCUGAUGCAGCAACGCCGCGUGCGGGAUGACGGCUUUCGGGUUGUAAACCGCUUUCGCCUGUGACGAAGCGUGAGUGACGGUAAUGGGUAAAGAAGCACCGGCUAACUACGUG